rnacentral:rRNA from 1 species
GACGAACGCUGGCGGCGUGCUUAACACAUGCAAGUCGAACGGAAAGGCCCUGCUUUUGUGGGGUGCUCGAGUGGCGAACGGGUGAGUAACACGUGAGUAACCUGCCCUUGACUUUGGGAUAACUUCAGGAAACUGGGGCUAAUACCGGAUAGGAGCUCCUGCUGCAUGGUGGGGGUUGGAAAGUUUCGGCGGUUGGGGAUGGACUCGCGGCUUAUCAGCUUGUUGGUGGGGUAGUGGCUUACCAAGGCUUUGACGGGUAGCCGGCCUGAGAGGGUGACCGGCCACAUUGGGCCUGAGAUACGGCGCAGACUCCUACGGGAGGCAGCAGUGGGGAAUAUUGCACAAUGGGCGGAAGCCUGAUGCAGCAACGCCGCGUGCGGGAUGACGGCCUUCGGGUUGUAAACCGCAUUCGCCUGUGACGAAGCGUGAGUGACGGUAAUGGGUAAAGAAGCACCGGCUAACUACGUG